GAUGAACGCUGGCGGCGUGCCUAAUACAUGCAAGUCGAGCGAACAGACGAUGAGCUUGCUCUUCUGACGUUAGCGGCGGACGGGUGAGUCACACGUGGAUAACCUACCUAUACGACUUAGAUAACUUCGGGAAACCGGAGUUAAUACCGGAUAAUAUAUUGAACCGCAUGGUUCAAUAGUGAAUUACGGUUUUGCUGACACUUAUAGAUGUCUCCGCGCCGCAUGAGCUAGUUGGUAAGGUAACGGCUUACCAAGGCGACAAUGCGUAGCCGACCUGAGAGGGUGAUCGGCCACGCGGGAGCGGAGGGACGGUCCAGACCCCUACGACGGGCAGCAGUACGGAAUGUUGCAGCAUGGGGGAAUGCCUGACGAUGCGACGCAGCGUGAGGGAGGAAGGUCGUCGGAUCGUAGAACGCUGUUAGUAUGUAAGAACAAAUCGCUAAGUAACUAGCCACGUCUUGACGGUACCUAGACAGAAAGCCACGGCUAACUACGUG
rnacentral:rRNA from 1 species